AGUGAACGCUGGCGGUAGGCCUAACACAUGCAAGUCGAACGGCAGCACAGUAAGAGCUUGCUCUUACGGGUGGCGAGUGGCGGACGGGUGAGGAAUACAUCGGAAUCUACUUUUUCGUGGGGGAUAACGUAGGGAAACUUACGCUAAUACCGCAUACGACCUACGGGUGAAAGCAGGGGAUCUUCGGACCUUGCGCGAUUGAAUGAGCCGAUGUCGGAUUAGCUAGUUGGCGGGGUAAAGGCCCACCAAGGCGACGAUCCGUAGCUGGUCUGAGAGGAUGAUCAGCCACACUGGAACUUAGACACGGUCCAGGGUCCUACGGGAGGCAGCAGUGGGGAAUAUUGGACAAUGGGCGCAAGCCUGAUCCAGCCAUACCGCGUGGGUGAAGAAGGCCUUCGGGUUGUAAAGCCCUUUUGUUGGGAAAGAACAGCAGCAGGUUAAUACCCCGCUGUUCUGACGGUACCCAAAGAAUAAGCACCGGCUAACUUCGUG
rnacentral:rRNA from 1 species